rnacentral:rRNA from 1 species
GACGAACGCUGGCGGCGUGCUUAACACAUGCGAGUCGAACGGAAAGGCCCUGCUUUUGUGGGGUGCUCGAGUGGCGAACGGGUGAGUAACACGUGAGAACCUGCCCUUGACUUUGGGAUAACUUCAGGAAACUGGGGCUAAUACCGGAUAGGAGCUCCUGCUGCAUGGUGGGGGUUGGAAAGUUUCGGCGGUUGGGGAUGGACUCGCGGCUUAUCAGCUUGUUGGUGGGGUAGUGGCUUACCAAGGCUUUGACGGGUAGCCGGCCUGAGAGGGUGACCGGCCACAUUGGGACUGAGAUACGGCCCAGACUCCUACGGGAGGCAGCAGUGGGGAAUAUUGCACAAUGGGCGGAAGCCUGAUGCAGCAACGCCGCGUGCGGGAUGACGGCCUUCGGGUUGUAAACCGCUUUCGCCUGUGACGAAGCGUGAGUGACGGUAAUGGGUAAAGAAGCACCGGCUAACUACGUG